rnacentral:lncRNA from 1 species
CGUGCCCGCCCCGGUCCCCCUGAGCCCUUGGCCCUCCCCGCCCCCACUACCCUUGUCCCCGGGUUGUCCCCGUCCCCUCCCCGCCACGGAUCCCCCCUCCAGCGUAUGCUGGGCCCAUUCCUCCCGCGGUUUGCUUCCCCCCGUUUCCUGCGUCUCUGCGGACCCCAUCUUGGGGUCCCCGGCUGGUCGGUGCCUUAUCACCCCACCCCUUUCUUCCCCCAUAGGAAGCCCUCCCCCCCAGCGCCUAUCUUUGUGGUGCCCUGCCUCACCCUCAUAGGAACCCCCCUAGCUCCCACAGAUUGACCCCUCCCCCACUCAGUGUUCCCUCGGGGGAGACAUCGCUCCUCUCGCGCCGCUGUAUUCCACUGUGUCCCCAGGCCUGGCCCGCCUUCUCGUUCGCUCUCGGGCCACCCAGCUCUCACCUGCCGCCCACCCCCUCCCCUCACCCAUCCUUCAGAAACCGGCACUGAGGGUCUGGCAGCAGCGGGUCCGGGAGUCUGGAGCCUUGCCCACGGCGGGUUGGUGUGGCACACAGAGUCGGAAAGAGCAGCCAGCCUGGGGUCCCGGUCUCGGAUACAGGGGAAGGCAGGCCAGCCAGUCUGUGCCCUGGGCGCUCCUCCUGCAGCGGGGGCUCCUGUCACCGGCAGAGCUACCCCCAUCCGGCUCAGGCAGAGCAGGGCGCAGGCCUUUGGUGCAGACCGAGCUCACCCUGAACAGGGCCGCUUGCAGACACAGAACUCCUAAACCCGCCUGGGCAGCCCCCUUAACCCCGGCACCCGGUUCCUUCUAAGUAGGUGUGAAGCCCAGGAAACCUUGACUGCCCGUCCUGCCCUAGGCAGCAGAGCUUCGAGGUUUAUCUCUGGGAUGGUCAGACUGUGUGCAGUCAGCUGGGUUGAUGCCCCUUAGGACCGGGUCGGGGUGGGGGACCCAGACCUUCUGCCCACCCCUGGUGACCUUCCUCUCUUUCCAGGAGAACAAGGGGUCUGUGGAAAUCAUGAGGAAGGACUUGAAUGAUGCCCGGGAUCUGCACGGCCAGGCGGAGUCGGCCGCCGCGGUGUGGAAGGGACACGUGAUGGACCGUAGGAAGAAGGCACUGACCGACUACAAGAAGCUACGGGCCUUCUUUGUGGAGGAGGAGGAGUACUUCCUUCAGGAGGCCGAGAAGGAGGAGGGGCUCCCCGAGGAUGAGCUGGCCGACCCCACCGAGCGCUUCAGGUCGCUGCUGCAGGCGGUGUCGGAGCUGGAGAAGAAGCACCGCAACCUGGGCCUCAGCAUGCUGCUGCAGUGAUGGCACCAGCCCACUGCCAUCCCGGAGCUGGAGGCAGGCGGAUGGAUCCUCGUCUCUGUGGGAAGUGUCAGCGCGUGGCUGCGGGAGAAGUGUGGUGGGCACCCAGCCUUGGGUCCACCUGUGUAGUUGCGUGUUUCAACAAUGUCCAUUUAUCCUUCACCCCAAGGCGUGAGUGUUUUGGGGGCUGCAAACGCCUCCUGGUAGAGGCUGGACUUGGGGACCCUUCCCACCUGUGCCCGACCCCUCCUGAAGUCCUGGCCGCAGCCCAUCCUCCAUGAGUCCCGGCAGCCCCAGGCCAUGCCCUUCCUCAAUCACCCAUCGACCCCUCACCUUGUCAUCCAGGGACCCAGACCCUGCACCUUCCACGUGGGGCCCCAGAUUCUUGGCAGGUACGUGAGGCACACCCUUGAAGGUCAGAAACGAGAAUGCACACGAGGCCGUGAGAAGGCUGGAACACAGAUUGCAGGGAAGAGAAAGAAGGCUGGAUGGCACGUUGAUGCCUCCUGAGGAGGGGGCCCCCCUCUUAGGGUGGGUGUGGGCCCUGCCCAGCCUCAUCCCCGCCUCCCUCCCGAGUCCCCUCCCCGCUCUGGCUCCUGGGAGCCCUCCCUGUGCUCCACCUGCCUCUGCAGAAGGGACCCUCUUCUCCCCGGGUGAGGGGCUGGCAGGUGGCCGACCCAUUUAGCGUCUCCGGGCGCUGCGCUGGUGUCUCAUCUUGCUGUUCUCUCUGGCUCUCUCUCAUUUCCUUUAGUCGUUGAAUUUUGCAAAGCUCGUAGCAGUAGCUCAAUUGCCUGCAGCAUCCUUGUGUGUAGAUAAAUUAGUCUAAUUGACAGAAACUCAGCACUGGGGACAGGAUUGCAAAGCCGGGGACAUAGAUGCAGACAGCUGUUGAGAUGUGGGGCCAGCUGGGCCUGUGAGUGGGGGCCUGUUUCCAGAAGCCUUUCAUCCUUCCCAUCCCCGGCCUUGGUGCGACGUCUGUGAGUUUGACCUGCCCAGCGCCUGGGCUGGCUCCGUGCUGAAUAAAGUGGGUUUGCUUCAGCCCGUUUGCGUCGUCUCCGUGUGUCCACGUGGCCUCUUCCCCCUGUCCCGGCCACCCUCCGCUGUUAAAGGAAUAUUCCUCCUGACACUUGUUAAAGUGUGGUGAGGAGGAUUUCACGGGGCCCAUCGAGAUGGCUGUGGAGCCCUUGCCUUGGGGCCUUGGGAGAGAUGGGGCUCCACCCCCACACAGCAGGACAGGGUGGGUGGAGAUGCCAAGGGGCAGGGUGGGGUCGGUGGGUGGGAAUGACUAAGAGGAGAUACGAGGGGUAAGUGCUCUGGCUAAACCCACCUCACCAGAUCCUUGCUGCAGGCGGGCAGGGUGAUCAGCUGUCGGCUGCAAACGAUCUGAUAGGAACCCGGUCAGGUACCAUUGAGGGUGGUUAGUUAAACCAAAUCAGGGUUCUUGCUAAAACUGGCUUUUGUAAGAAAGUGCACAGAGAGGGCCCUGGGAGAAGGUUCCAGAGCCUGGCUAGAGUUUGGCCAACCAGAGAAUCUCUGUCAGCACACCAACAACCUCCCGACCCUGAGACCUCAAGUUUGUUCUCAGCAUCUCUGCCCACUGCAGUCCGCUGUUGUCCCCAGUGCCCGUUCUACCCUGCCCUGUACACCUGCGAUGCUUACCCAGCCAGGCCCUCAUGACAGAGUCCCCCACAACACCAAACUCCACAUCACCAGGUCCUGAUGACAGAGUCCCCCACACCAAACUCCACGUCACCAGGUCCUGAUGACAAGAGUCCCCACAACACCAAACUCUGUAUCACCAGGACCUGACAACAGAGUCCCCCACACCAAACUCCACAUCACCAGGACCUGAUGACAGAGCCCCCCACACCAAACGCCACAUCACCAGGACCUGAUUACAGUCCCCCACACCACCAAACUCCACAUCACUAGGUCCUGAUGACAGAGUCCCCCACACCAAACUCCGCAUCACCAGGUCCUGAUGACAGAGUCCCCCACAACACCAAACUCUCCAUAUCACCAGGUGUGAGUGGCUUUACCGUCCUCACCUAGCCAACCAACAACAUCCCACCCUGUCAAUCACAACCUCUUUCUGUUUAAAACAAUGAUAUAUUUAUGGGGCACAAUGUGAUGCUUUGAUACCUGUGUACGCUGUGGAGUGGCAGAGUCAAGCAGAUGAAUGUAUCCACCUCACGUCUUUUGUGGUAAGAACAUUUGACAUCUGUGCUUGGCAGUUUCAGAUACAGUCACCCCUCAGUCUGAGGGGAAUUGGUCCCAGGACCCCGUUGUCGAUACCAAAAUGCACGGACGCUCAAGUGCCUCUGCAGGAUGUGGGACACAUACAGAGGCUGCGUGCACACAGCACACGGUUGUCCUCUGAAGUCGCCGUGCUGCGCAAAGGCCCUGAGUUCUUGUGAACAGGAACUCUGUACCCUCUGACCAGAAUUGCUCCAGAUCCCCUGUCCCAGCCCUUGCUAACUGCUGCUCUCUGUGUCUUUCGGAAAAUCAACAUUUUGAUUCCGCAUGUGAGAUCAUAAGAUAUUUGUCCUGUUCCCCGCUCAUUUCACUUAAUAUACUCCAGAUUCACCCAAGUAGCAAACGGCAGUUUUCCUUUUUAUAGCCGAAUAGUAUUCCACUGUGUGUAUCCACCUUAUCCCUUUAUCCACUGGCUUCUAGACCACCAAGGUUGAUUCCAUAUCUUGGCUGCUGUGAAAGUGCUGUAAGAAACAGAAGUGUGGGUAUCUCUUCCACUUAUUCAUGUCAUUUCCUUUGGGAAAAUGCUUAGUACCGAGUACCAGCUCAGCCGGGGAGACCCCACCCAGGCAGCGCUGAAGACAGUGAGAGGCAGACACACAGAACAGCGAAGUGGAUCUAUCUGGGGGGAGCAGCCUACCCCGCUGAGAGCCUCAGGGCUGACGCAUUCCAGGCUGAAGGCUCCGAGCAGAUUCUCAUCCACAUGGUCUCUCUCAACAGGUGAUUAUUAUUAACAAACAGGUGUUCUGUAUUUUCUCCUAACUCAUAAAUAUACAGUAGGCAGCUGUUACCGGCUUACCACUGACUACAGACAAACUCAAAGGCAUUCUCCAAGAGGGAGCCCCGGGGCAGGACCAGAUAUCUCAAAGCAUUGUUUUAACCGGUCAAUGAUAUUUCUACGUCGUCCUGCCACUUUGGAACGCCCCAAAUGCCUUUCCACUUGGGGAGGGGUCGGCUAGCUUUUCCUUGCCAUCGUUCUUCCUAGCAAGCAGUAUGUUCUAUCAUACACUCAGCGUUCAUCAAUAUUCAUAAACUCAGUAUUUCUCAAUAGCUUAGUGGUAGAAUUGCUGGGUCACAAUUCUAAUUUUUUCAGUAACCUCCAUAUGCUUCUCCAUGAUGGCUGUAUAAUUUACAUUCUCGCCAACACUGUAGCCUUUGAAAUGAGCCAUUCUGCUCCCAAGCUGCCCCUGCCUCCUUUCCUCUCCUCUCCUU